rnacentral:rRNA from 1 species
GAUGAACGCUGGCGGCGUGCCUAAUACAUGCAAGUAGAACGCUGAAGGAGGAGCUUGCUCUUCUGGAUGAGUUGCGAACGGGUGAGUAACGCGUAGGUAACCUGCCUGGUAGCGGGGGAUAACUAUUGGAAACGAUAGCUAAUACCGCAUGACAACAGUUAUUGCAUGAUAACUGUUUAAAAGGGGCAACUGCUCCACUACCAGAUGGACCUGCGUUGUAUUAGCUAGUUGGUGAGGUAACGGCCCACCAAGGCGACGAUACAUAGCCGACCUGAGAGGGUGGUCGGCCACACUGGGACUGGGACACGGCCCAGACUCCUACGGGAGGCAGCAGUAGGGAAUCUUCGGCAAUGGACGGAAGUCUGACCGAGCAACGCCGCGUGAGUGAAGAAGGUUUUCGGAUCGUAAAGCUCUGUUGUAAGAGAAGAACGAGUGUGAGAGUGGAAAGUUCACACUGUGACGGUAUCUUACCAGAAAGGGACGGCUAACUACGUG